CCUACGGGAGGCAGCAGUAGGGAAUCUUCCGCAAUGGACGAAAGUCUGACGGAGCAACGCCGCGUGAACGAAGAAGGUUUUCGGAUCGUAAAGUUCUGUUGUUAGGGAAGAACAAGUACCGUUCAAAUAGGGCGGUACCUUGACGGUACCUAUCGAGGAAGCCCCGGCUAACUACGUGCCAGCAGCCGCGGUAAUACGUAGGGGGCAAGCGUUGUCCGGAAUUAUUGGGCGUAAAGCGCGCGUAGGCGGUUUCUUAAGUCUGAUGUGAAAUCUUGCGGCUCAACCGCAAGCGGUCAUUGGAAACUGGGGAACUUGAGUGCAGAAGAGGAGAGCGGAAUUCCACGUGUAGCGGUGAAAUGCGUAGAUAUGUGGAGGAACACCAGUGGCGAAGGCGGCUCUCUGGUCUGUAACUGACGCUGAGGUGCGAAAGCGUGGGGAGCGAA
rnacentral:rRNA from 1 species